ACUGCUAUCGUCUAGUGGUUCAGGGCAUCUCUCUUUCAAGGAGGCAGCGGGGAUUCAACUUCCCUGGGGGUA
rfam:Triticum aestivum genome assembly, contig: Triticum_aestivum_CS42_TGACv1_scaffold_000883_1AL